rnacentral:lncRNA from 1 species
GCUGUUUGGAAGGACACACUGGUAAUUGAAUUUGGUGUAAUUACACUGUCUUGUCCUGUUUGGAAGGACAUGUAAUUACUUGGUUAGCAGGUAAUUGGUGUAAUUGGCAGGGGGUAAUUACACUCUACAAUUCACAGGCAGAGGCUGUGAAUUGCUGGUAAUUACAUGGUGUAAUUACCACCUGAUUACUUUUUAAUUUCUUUUUUU